rnacentral:rRNA from 1 species
GACGAACGCUGGCGGCGUGCCUAAUACAUGCAAGUAGAACGCUGAAGAGAGGAGCUUGCUCUUCUUGGAUGAGUUGCGAACGGGUGAGUAACGCGUAGGUAACCUGCCUGGUAGCGGGGGAUAACUAUUGGAAACGAUAGCUGAUACCGCAUAAAAUUGAUUAUUGCAUGAUAAUUAAUUGAAAGAUGCAACUGCAUCGCUACCAGAUGGACCUGCGUUGUAUUAGCUAGUUGGUGAGGUAACGGCUCACCAAGGCGACGAUACAUAGCCGACCUGAGAGGGUGAUCGGCCACACUGGGACUGAGACACGGCCCAGACUCCUACGGGAGGCAGCAGUAGGGAAUCUUCGGCAAUGGGGGGAACCCUGACCGAGCAACGCCGCGUGAGUGAAGAAGGUUUUCGGAUCGUAAAGCUCUGUUGUAAGAGAAGAACGGGUGUGAGAGUGGAAAGUUCACACUGUGACGGUAUCGUACCAGAAAGGGACGGCUAACUACGU